rnacentral:lncRNA from 1 species
GUAUUUGGAGGAUGUUAUGGCCCAUAAACAGGCCAUUCCCUUCACACGAUUCUGCGGUGGUGUUGGACGUACUGCUCAGGCAAAGAAUAGGCAUCCAAAUGGACAGGGACGAUGGCCUGUCAAAUCAGCAAAGUUCAUUCUUGACUUGCUCAAGAAUGCUGAGAGUAAUGCUGAGGUAUGUCUCUUAUGUGUGUUUACAGAUUGUUGCUGUCUACAUAAUUUCUGUUGGCUAAUAAUUGGUUAAUAAAUGAUAUUUUAGGUGAAAGGUUUAGAUGUUGAUGCACUCUACAUUUCUCACAUCCAAGUCAACCAGGCACAAAAGCAAAGGCGCCGCACAUACCGUGCUCAUGGAAGAAUUAAUCGUAUGUUUUUAGUUCUUUUCCACUUGUGCUUAAUAUUUUUAUGUUGAUGUUUGUUUCAUACUUGAUGGUAAACUUGAUAAAAAUCUGCAGCUUACAUGUCCUCUCCCUGCCAUAUUGAGUUGACCUUAUCUGAAAAGGAAGAGCCAGUAAAGAAAGAGGUAAUAUUAUUACCUUUCACAGUUUUCACUUGGAGUGAUUGCAAUUCAGAAGUUACACUUUUAUAAUGUCUUAUUUUGUUUUCUUUGCCUUGCAGCCUGAGACCCAGUUGGCAACUAGCAAAUCAAAGAAGUAAUUGUCUGAGGUUUAGCAUAGCAAUUGGAGAGUGCCUUGAUUUUCUAUUUUGUGUUCUUGAUGAAGUGAGUUUUUUUACCUUUAAUAGUGACUGAGAUGUUAUUUAGUCAAAUCAGAC